GAGCUUUACAUACCCCGUGGUGUUCAGGUCUUACUGCUGGCUCUGCACUCAAGAAUCACUUUUGGUGUUCUGAGGGGACUGUAUAUGCUGCUGGGGAUCAAACCCUUUUUGGCUGGUGCAAGUCCAUACAGGAACUCUUACUCUGGACACAACAGGGGGAUGUGAGCCAUGGUAUGGUGACAUUGCCUGCUACUUACUACUAUUGGGAGUAAAACACUGGUAGACUUUGAAGGUCACACCUGGCGAUGCACAGGGGUUACUCCUGGCUGCACUCAGGAAUUACUCCUGGCGGUGCUCAGGGGACCAUAUGGAAUGCUGGGAUUUGAACCUGGGUUGGCCGUGUGCAAGGCAAAGGCCCUGUCCGCUAUGCUAUCACUCCAGCCCCCCUAAUGUACACUUUUAAAAUAAUUCAUUUUGAGUAAAAAUAAUUCCUUGAGGGCUAGAAAUGUAUUUCAUUUGUAAAGGAC